CCAUGUCACUUCUAUCAUGUUUGUUGUUAGUCGUUAUGACUAACUUUCUUUCCAAAUGUUACAUCCUUGAAACGUGCAACGUCAGCACAUUAUUGUCACGGCUUCCAAGGUCAUUAACUAGCCACUAAACCAGAUGUUGAUGCUUUGUUUUGAUUUAAUCAUCGUUUUCCUCGCUUUGAGGCUCCUUGUUGUCUCCAAACAUGUCAUAUGUCCAUAUUUCUGGGAGAAACUCUC
rnacentral:lncRNA from 1 species